GGACCUGACAAACUUCUUCCUUCGAGUCGAUGCUUGGGCUCUCAAGAUGCUCAAUGAAGAUUUUUCUAAGCUCAUUGCAACCAGAAGUGGUGAGACGAGACAGGGAGUUGGCUCAGGCAUUCUCAAAGUGAGGGAUGUGAAAAAUCUCAAAGUGAUCAAAAUAUGAUUGCAGAGACUUAAGUCUUUGUAGAUACGUGGAGAGAAUAGGAUCUCAAACCAC
rnacentral:lncRNA from 1 species